rnacentral:rRNA from 1 species
UACGGAGGAUGCGAGCGUUAUCCGGAUUUAUUGGGUUUAAAGGGUGCGUAGGCGGAGUGCCAAGUCAGCGGUAAGAAUUCGGGGCUCAACCCCGUCGUGCCGUUGAAACUGGCGCCCUUGAGUGGGCGAGAAGUAUGCGGAAUGCGUGGUGUAGCGGUGAAAUGCAUAGAUAUCACGCAGAACCCCGAUUGCGAAGGCAGCAUACCGGCGCCCGACUGACGCUGAAGCACGAAAGCGUGGGUAUCGAACAGG